GCCGGGUGUGGUGGCACGCACCUGUAGUCCCAGCUACUCGGGAGGCUGAGGCAGAAGAAUCGCUUGAACCCAGGAGGCGGAGGUUGCAGUGAGCCGAGAUUGCACCACUGCACUCCAGCCUGGGUAACAGAGCGAGACUCAGUCUCAU
rnacentral:SRP_RNA from 1 species